CGACUGCAUUGCUCAUUGCUAUCCUCCACACACGCUACUCAUGUGGGCCGAGUGCAUAUGGAGGGGAUAGCUUCCGCUAACGUGGAGUACGCUAAUGCGGGGUUCCAGUGUAUAUAAAUACGUUGAAAGUAUGCAGUGUAAAAGUGUGAACACUUUCGUAGUGGUCUAAAAAUGAUCCCAAUUGCGAUGUUUUUGUCAGUCAACAUAUUUAAUAGACAGAAUCAUGCAUUUUAAAAGUUACAGGGAUCGUAGAAGUUCGUACUUAAAGUCCAAAAUGUAAUACAGUUUCUGAAGGUGCAGUCACAUGGGACCAGCGUACAGCGUACCGGUGUAUGGCGUAAAGGAAUUGGACCAAUCACAAGGUUUACGUCUGUUUUGUUAACACAGACAUCGACUGUCCCAUAGUGCGUAUUUAAGGUCGGUGUAAGGAUUAAUAAGCCAAUCCCAAUGUCUUAUGCAAAGCUUAUUUUCAAAAUGGAUUUUUUAAUUGGUUUAUUGAUUAUAUUUACGCCAGCGUUAUAUAUAACGCUGGCGUAAAUACGCCCCAUGGAACAGUCGAUGUCUGUGCUAACAAAACGAGCGUAAACCUUGUGAUUCGUGUUGGUCUAAUUUUUUUACGCCAUAUGCCGGUACGCUAUACGCUGGCCCCAUGUGACUGCACCUUGAUGCGACAAUCAGCGUCAUAAGAAUAAAGGACAGUCUAUUAUGGACAACGAUAAUUAAAGUUAGGAUCAAUAAUUUUUUAAAAUUUACAUUUUUUAUAUACAUUAUAAUGAUUUUGACUGGACACUGAGUUCGUAUAUAUGUAUCAACACUUUAAAUCAUAAUUCGCUGACACGAAUUACAAAUUUAUAGUGGAUUGAUCUGUACUUGAAAAGGGCUCAAAGCGAGGGCCGAAACGUCGUAACCGUUAAAUUUUAAUAAAUUUGACCAGUUGCGUCGACUACAAGUUUUACUUUAUUUAUCAAUAAUUUUUAUAAAAAACAUGAUAUAAACUCUUUUAUAAGGAAUUAUCGAUUAAAAGUUUAUGUCAAAAAAUAUUUGAAAACUUAAAAAUUUUAAACACGUGUUUACUUUAUUGACAUGGUUCAGAAACAACGCUUGACGCAUUAACUUACGCUAUUAUCCUAAUCCUACACAUUCAAAAUAAUAUAUUAAUAUCAAAUAAUUCGGUAUUCUACACAAGGGCUGUAAUACAUUGCAGCCUCUUUAAAUUAUUACACAAUGUGAAUUACUCAUCGUAUAUUAUCAAACAUUUUGCUCAAAAAAAUUUAACAUUUUUGAAACUUCUAAAAAUAAUGUCCAAAAGUUAUUUUGGGGCAAUUUAAAUUUUAAAAUAGUGAAAAAAAAA